rnacentral:rRNA from 1 species
GGGUUGUGAGGUUAAGCGACUAAGCGUACACGGUGGAUGCCCUGGCAGUCAGAGGCGAUGAAGGACGUGCUAAUCUGCGAUAAGCGUCGGUAAGGUGAUAUGAACCGUUAUAACCGGCGAUUUCCGAAUGGGGAAACCCAGUGUGUUUCGACACACUAUCAUUAACUGAAUCCAUAGGUUAAUGAGGCGAACCGGGGGAACUGAAACAUCUAAGUACCCCGAGGAAAAGAAAUCAACCGAGAUUCCCCCAGUAGCGGCGAGCGAACGGGGAGCAGCCCAGAGCCUGAAUCAGUGUGUGUGUUAGUGGAAGCGUCUGGAAAGGCGCGCGAUACAGGGUGACAGCCCCGUACACAAAAAUGCACAUACUGUGAGCUCGAUGAGUAGGGCGGGACACGUGGUAUCCUGUCUGAAUAUGGGGGGACCAUCCUCCAAGGCUAAAUACUCCUGACUGACCGAUAGUGAACCAGUACCGUGAGGGAAAGGCGAAAAGAACCCCGGCGAGGGGAGUGAAAAAGAACCUGAAACCGUGUACGUACAAGCAGUGGGAGCACGCUUCGGCGUGUGACUGCGUACCUUUUGUAUAAUGGGUCAGCGACUUAUAUUCUGUAGCAAGGUUAACCGAAUAGGGGAGCCGAAGGGAAACCGAGUCUUAACUGGGCGUUAAGUUGCAGGGUAUAGACCCGAAACCCGGUGAUCUAGCCAUGGGCAGGUUGAAGGUUGGGUAACACUAACUGGAGGACCGAACCGACUAAUGUUGAAAAAUUAGCGGAUGACUUGUGGCUGGGGGUGAAAGGCCAAUCAAACCGGGAGAUAGCUGGUUCUCCCCGAAAGCUAUUUAGGUAGCGCCUCGUGAACUCAUCUUCGGGGUAGAGCACUGUUUCGGCAAGGGGGUCAUCCCGACUUACCAACCCGAUGCAAACUGCGAAUACCGGAGAAUGUUAUCACGGGAGACACACGGCGGGUGCUAACGUCCGUCGUGAAGAGGGAAACAACCCAGACCGCCAGCUAAGGUCCCAAAGUCAUGGUUAAGUGGGAAACGAUGUGGGAAGGCCCAGACAGCCAGGAUGUUGGCUUAGAAGCAGCCAUCAUUUAAAGAAAGCGUAAUAGCUCACUGGUCGAGUCGGCCUGCGCGGAAGAUGUAACGGGGCUAAACCAUGCACCGAAGCUGCGGCAGCGACACUAUGUGUUGUUGGGUAGGGGAGCGUUCUGUAAGCCUGUGAAGGUGUGCUGUGAGGCAUGCUGGAGGUAUCAGAAGUGCGAAUGCUGACAUAAGUAACGAUAAAGCGGGUGAAAAGCCCGCUCGCCGGAAGACCAAGGGUUCCUGUCCAACGUUAAUCGGGGCAGGGUGAGUCGACCCCUAAGGCGAGGCCGAAAGGCGUAGUCGAUGGGAAACAGGUUAAUAUUCCUGUACUUGGUGUUACUGCGAAGGGGGACGGAGAAGGCUAUGUUGGCCGGGCGACGGUUGUCCCGGUUUAAGCGUGUAGGCUGGUUUUCCAGGCAAAUCCGGAAAAUCAAGGCUGAGGCGUGAUGACGAGGCACUACGGUGCUGAAGCAACAAAUGCCCUGCUUCCAGGAAAAGCCUCUAAGCAUCAGGUAACAUUAAAUCGUACCCCAAACCGACACAGGUGGUCAGGUAGAGAAUACCAAGGCGCUUGAGAGAACUCGGGUGAAGGAACUAGGCAAAAUGGUGCCGUAACUUCGGGAGAAGGCACGCUGAUAUGUAGGUGAAGUCCCUCGCGGAUGGAGCUGAAAUCAGUCGAAGAUACCAGCUGGCUGCAACUGUUUAUUAAAAACACAGCACUGUGCAAACACGAAAGUGGACGUAUACGGUGUGACGCCUGCCCGGUGCCGGAAGGUUAAUUGAUGGGGUUAGCGGUAACGCGAAGCUCUUGAUCGAAGCCCCGGUAAACGGCGGCCGUAACUAUAACGGUCCUAAGGUAGCGAAAUUCCUUGUCGGGUAAGUUCCGACCUGCACGAAUGGCGUAAUGAUGGCCAGGCUGUCUCCACCCGAGACUCAGUGAAAUUGAACUCGCUGUGAAGAUGCAGUGUACCCGCGGCAAGACGGAAAGACCCCGUGAACCUUUACUAUAGCUUGACACUGAACAUUGAGCCUUGAUGUGUAGGAUAGGUGGGAGGCUUUGAAGUGUGGACGCCAGUCUGCAUGGAGCCGACCUUGAAAUACCACCCUUUAAUGUUUGAUGUUCUAACGUUGACCCGUAAUCCGGGUUGCGGACAGUGUCUGGUGGGUAGUUUGACUGGGGCGGUCUCCUCCUAAAGAGUAACGGAGGAGCACGAAGGUUGGCUAAUCCUGGUCGGACAUCAGGAGGUUAGUGCAAUGGCAUAAGCCAGCUUGACUGCGAGCGUGACGGCGCGAGCAGGUGCGAAAGCAGGUCAUAGUGAUCCGGUGGUUCUGAAUGGAAGGGCCAUCGCUCAACGGAUAAAAGGUACUCCGGGGAUAACAGGCUGAUACCGCCCAAGAGUUCAUAUCGACGGCGGUGUUUGGCACCUCGAUGUCGGCUCAUCACAUCCUGGGGCUGAAGUAGGUCCCAAGGGUAUGGCUGUUCGCCAUUUAAAGUGGUACGCGAGCUGGGUUUAGAACGUCGUGAGACAGUUCGGUCCCUAUCUGCCGUGGGCGCUGGAGAACUGAGGGGGGCUGCUCCUAGUACGAGAGGACCGGAGUGGACGCAUCACUGGUGUUCGGGUUGUCAUGCCAAUGGCACUGCCCGGUAGCUAAAUGCGGAAGAGAUAAGUGCUGAAAGCAUCUAAGCACGAAACUUGCCCCGAGAUGAGUUCUCCCUGACCCUUUAAGGGUCCUGAAGGAACGUUGAAGACGACGACGUUGAUAGGCCGGGUGUGUAAGCGCAGCGAUGCGUUGAGCUAACCGGUACUAAUGAACCGUGAGGCUUAACCUUACAACGCCGAAGCUGUU